CUCUGAUAACCUUCAAGAAACAUGAAAGGGUGCCCUCAGCCCCUUGGAAAAGCCAUGAUGCCUGUUGAAAAAACUCUAGAGGUCACUGCUAGUUCAUAUAGAUUGUGCAAAUUAAGAAAGGGAGUCCUUUUUCCAACUCCAUCCAGGAGAAAAUGUUUGCUGACCCCUGCCAUCGACGAUGGGGGAGGUGUGAGUUCCCCUCCAGCACUUAUUGUUGGC
rnacentral:lncRNA from 1 species